rnacentral:pre_miRNA from 7 species
UCUUCGGAGACGUGGGUGGUCACGCCAAUCCCGGGACGAGCCCCCAAAUGAAAGACUCCAAGAGGAGCCCCUCCCUCAGGCCUCAGGACACCCAAGAACUCAUGACAGACC